rnacentral:rRNA from 1 species
GGAUGAACGCUAGCUACAGGCUUAACACAUGCAAGUCGAGGGGCAUCAGGAAGAAAGCUUGCUUUCUUUGCUGGCGACCGGCGCACGGGUGAGUAACACGUAUCCAACCUGCCCUUUACUCGGGGAUAGCCUUUCGAAAGAAAGAUUAAUACCCGAUAGCAUAAUGAUUCCGCAUGGUUUCAUUAUUAAAGGAUUCCGGUAAAGGAUGGGGAUGCGUUCCAUUAGGUUGUUGGUGAGGUAACGGCUCACCAAGCCUUCGAUGGAUAGGGGUUCUGAGAGGAAGGUCCCCCACAUUGGAACUGAGACACGGUGCAAACUCCUACGGGAGGCAGCAGUGAGGAAUAUUGGUCAAUGGGCGCUAGCCUGAACCAGCCAAGUAGCGUGAAGGAUGAAGGCUCUAUGGGUCGUAAACUUUUUUUAUAUAAGAAUAAAGUGCAGUAUGUAUACUGUUUUGUAUGUAUUAUAUGAAUAAGGAUCGGCUAACUCCGUGCCAGCAGCCGCGGUAAUACGGAGGAUCCGAGCGUUAUCCGGAUUUAUUGGGUUUAAAGGGAGCGUAGGUGGACUGGUAAGUCAGUUGUGAAAGUUUGCGGCUCAACCGUAAAAUUGCAGUUGAUACUGUCAGUCUUGAGUACAGUAGAGGUGGGCGGAAUUCGUGGUGUAGCGGUGAAAUGCUUAGAUAUCACGAAGAACUCCGAUUGCGAAGGCAGCUCACUGGACUGCAACUGACACU